UUUAUAGUAAAAUCUGCUCAAUGAUUUUAUUUCAAUAGCCGCAAUUAGUGCUAAGGUAGCAUAAUCAAUUGUCUUUCAAAUAAAGACUAGAACAAAAGAUUUAACAUUUUAUUCAUUUUAUUAAAUUUUUCUUCAAAAUUAUUUUAUUUGUAAAAAAACAAAUAUUUAUAAAAAAGACGAUAAGACCCUUUUGAACUUAACUUCAGUUAAACUGGGGCAGUUAAUCAUUUAAUAUUUUAAUAUUAAAAUUCAAAUAAAUAUCUAAUUAUAUUUAAAUCAUCAAGUUACCAUAGGGAUAACAGCGCAAUAAUAUUUUAUAGACCUUAUAUAAAAAAUAGAUUACGACCUCGAUGUUGAAUUAAUUACCUAAAUAGAGCAAGAUUUAAAUAAAAGGAAGUCUGUUCGACUUUUAAAAAAUUACAUGAUUUGAGUUCAGACCGGUGUAAACCAGGUCGGUUUCCAUCUUUUUUACAGUUUUCUGUAGUACGAAAGGACCCACAAAUAUAAUAAUAUUUUUAUAUUAGCAAAUAAAUGCAUUAGAAUUAGAAUCUAAUAAAACUU
rnacentral:rRNA from 1 species